GGCGGCGGCGGAGCAGCGCGGGGAGCCAGGCGGGCUGCCGGCGGGUGUGAAGAAAAAAAAUGACACUCCAAUGGGCUGCAGUGGCAACCUUUCUUUAUGCCGAAAUAGGACUCAUUUUAAUCUUCUGCCUACCUUUUAUUCCUCCUCAGAGAUGGCAGAAGAUUUUUUCAUUUAAUGUCUGGGGUAAAAUUGCAACUUUUUGGAACAAGGCUUUCCUUACCAUUAUCAUCCUAUUGAUUGUUCUAUUUCUAGCUUUUCUGCAUAAUGGAUUCAGGAGUAUUAUUCCCAUUUAAUUACCAAGGAAGAUGAAUCACGAAGCAUAAUGAUCCUUCAUAGUACUCACUAUUUGCCUAUUCAAAAUAAGUCGUAAAUAUAUAUUAUCUUUGUUGGUUUUUUGGUAGUGGUUGGCAUGCUCUUACUAUAUUAUUGAGGCAAUCUGAGAAAUGACAAAGGGGAAAUAGCCAUUAAGAUACAGGAAAUUUUCUAAAGAUCAUUUAAGAGACUACUUUGUAUAACUAUGCAAAUAAAUUGGAAAACCUAGAUAAAAUGUAUAAUUUUGUAGAAAAAUAUGAUUUACCAAUGAACACCAGUAGAUAUAGAAAAUUUAAGCAGACUAAUUUAUAUAGAAAAAUUAUAGAAAGUUAUCAAAAAGGACCCCUAUUUGAAAAAAAAAAGCAAAAAACCAGAUAGUUUUAUAAGAAACCCUACUGCUUUCAGAAAACAGAUAUUACUACUGCUUCUUAAACUGUUCUAGAAUUUAAACUUCAAAUUGUACAGAGCUAGAAAAAAGCAAG
rnacentral:sRNA from 1 species